GACGAACGCUGGCGGCGUGCUUAACACAUGCAAGUCGAACGGAAAGGCCUGCUUUCCCUUGUGGAUUGCGGGUACUCGAGUGGCGAACGGGUGAGUAACACGUGAGUGAUCUGCCCCCAACUUGGGUAUAAGCCUGGGAAACUGGGUCUAAUUCCCGAUAGGACUGCAGGGUGGUGCCUGUGGUGGAAAACGAUUUUCUAGUGGUUGGGGAUGAGCUCGCGGCCUAUCAGCUUGUUGGUGGGGUAAUGGCCUACCAAGGCGGCGACGGGUAGCCGGCCUGAGAGGGUGGACGGCCACAUGUGGACUGAGAUACGGCCCAGACUCCUACGGGAGGCAGCAGUGGGGAAUAUUGCACAAUGGGCGGAAGCCUGAUGCAGCGACGCCGCGUGGGGGAUGACGGCCUUCGGGUGGUAAACUCCUUUCGACCGCGAGGAAGCCGCCUGGUUGGAAGGGUGGUGACGGUAGUGGUAGAAGAAGCACCGGCUAACUACGUG
rnacentral:rRNA from 1 species